CCCCAGGGCCCUGCUGCUGCCUUACCUUGCUGGGGAGACUACCUGAUUAAAGACCUCAAAACUAUACCAGUCCCUGGUGCUCCCAGACCUGCAGCUGUGGCCCAACAGGCAGGUGUUUGAGGCCCUGCGUGGUCCCGGGGCUGCACCCUGGGCCUCAUCAGCAACCCGCUGGACUGUGGUGGCCUUGCGGGGAGGGUGGGCUACCUUGGUGGUGUCCUCCCUCUACCAGUAGGGGCUGGUGGGCCCUGUGUCGGAGGCAAUAGUGGGUGAGCUCUCGGCUGGGGGACAGGUGUGGGGUCCUGACUCCCCCAUGCUGCAUACGGUCCUGUGCCUCUCCCCACCCCUUGGCCAAUGGAGGCUGAGAACAAGUUGCUGCCAGAUAAAGAAUGGAACGGAGGCUGAGAAGGCCUUGCCCAGGAGGCAAAGCCCGUUCCACUGCCCACCCCAGGCUGCCUGGGAGGCCACCUUCCCUUCCACCACCAGGCCAAGUGGAAAACCCUAAGGCUAUGGGACAGGCUCCCAUUGCCCAUGCCUACAUAGGAGGGUUCAGGCUCUGAUAGAAGACAGUGUGCCCACCCUGUGUCCUCAUCCCUGAGUGCAGACACCUUGGGAAGGGGGUUCGUUGUAGUCCUUGGGUGCCCAACCCUGGUCCCUCAAUAAAGAACUAAUAAAGAGCAAAUGCUGGUCCUGCAGAGCUGGGUGUGCACAGGGCGCUGCAAACAUCUGCCCUCCCCCAGGAGGCUACUGCAGCCCAGCCCUUCUGUGCCCUGGGCCCCUCCUCACUGUACCCCCACCCACCACACCACUCUGGGACAGAGGAACCACAUGGGAGGCCACAGCAUACAGCCUGUCUGUUUAUAGAUCUCUGCCUGUCUCGUCCGUCCGUCUGUCCACCUGUGUGUAUAUAUCUGUGUAUCUCUAUGGAACAGGGAACAGGAUAGUUGUGUAAAAAUCCAAAAUACAAUUCUGACUAUGAACAA